rnacentral:misc_RNA from 1 species
GAUGAAGAACGCAGCGAAAUGCGAUAAGUAAUGUGAAUUGCAGAAUUCAGUGAAUCAUCGAAUCUUUGAACGCACCUUGCACCCUUUGGCAUUCCGAAGGGUAUGCUCGUUUGAGUGUCAGUGUACUCUCACACUUCUGAUCCUUUGGAUUGGGAGCGGUGGACUUGGGUGUUGCUGCUUUACUGUGGCUCACCUCAAAUGCAUUCGUGCAACUCUUGGUUGGACAUAGUACGGCGUGAUAAGUAUCUUCGCCGGCACCUCGCAAGAGGGUGGCUGAUCAGGAGCUCUGUGCUUUCCAACUGUCUUCAGACAACAACUGACAACUUGACCUCAAAUCGAGUAGGACCACCCGCUGAACUUAAGCAUAUCAAUAAGCGGAGGA